CAAGCCCUCGCGCCUCGUCAGCGUGCAGCUAGCUGUCGCUGCUUCCUCCCCUGCAGGACCGUUGUGUUGCCCUCUCACACUCUCUCGCUGUCCGGUUCCUACCCAGAGGUGUGGGGCGGGACCGAGAACCCGAGAGGCGAUGAGGGAGGCCCGGCGCGGCCUCUCGGAGGCAAAGCGCGGUCUGAGGGAAAUGCCUGGCGGACACUCGCGGGACCGGUUCCCACCGCAGCCGGUGGGCAGGGCUUCUCCCCGCCCGGAACUCGUUCUCCGGUCCGCUGAAUGCAGACAGCAAGCCGGGCCGGCCCGCCGCACGGGACUGCGGAGGAAGGAGAUUCCUUGGAAUGAAACCAAUGGGAGAUCAGGGUUUGGGAGAGUCUCAUCAGAGCAGAUGGGCCAGCAGCAGCCAGAAAGCUUGUUGCCUUUGGCUGAGAGCACCAUCCUGGAUCUGACGUCUUAUGGAAAAACUGAAGCCUAAGGAGAGGAAUGGACUUACCAUGGACAUUUCAGGAGCCCAGAGGCAACUCGGGCCAAGGAGCCCCUACCUGGACACCUUUGUGCACCUUGCUGUCCCCAGCCCAGGGCCCUUGAGGAAUAGGUAAGUGGAAAGACCCAAGGGAGUCUGGAACUUUGUGAAGGGCCCUGAUGUCCCCCAAGUCACGAGAGACUUUUCUUUCUCCUGCUGUAGCCUCCCCAUGAGUAACACAGGGUCAUCACGUCUUCCCUGGCCACAGUGCUAGGCUGUGAAGAUCAAAGGAGAAACUGUGCUAACAUCCUUGGGCAACUGUGAAGCUCUCUGCCUGAGGUAGGAGAUAAGUACCAUCAUCCUCAUCCCUAAUGGCUCCCAGAUCCAAGAGAUCCAGGCUGACCCCUCCAAGGCUUUAUCAAGCAAUGCUCAAACAGCCAAGUCUCGGUGGAACUAGGUCCUGCUCUGAAGAUCAUAGGUAUUGGUGAUACAGAUGGGGCAGGGCAGGUCCAGGAUCCAUUCUGAAUCUCCAGCAGCUCAAGAAUGGGCUGAAUCCCCACUUGCUCCAUCCCACCAACCUUCCCACCCAGGGGCCUCACCACGCCCAUCUGUUCACUGGACCCUCACAACACCUUUGUGAGCUUAGAAGGACAGAAAGGCCUAUCCCCUUUUAUAGAUGAGGAAAUGGGCCCAGGGAGAGACAGCUGACUUUUUAUGGUCACACAGCACGUCCCAUCCUCCUACAUCAGGAAUCAUUCUCUUGACUCUUAACAAAGAGAGAGAUAAGAAAAAGAAGCCAAGACCCUUGCAACUGAGCCCUGAUCUCUCCUUAGGAUGCCGUUGCCCUUUGAAUCAGGGAAGGAAGUGAAAGUGAGGUCUCUGCUUCCCCACUGAAUGUUCCUACCAGGGCUGGCCCAGGCCCAGCCCAUGCUCAGCUUGGCUCCUUAAGUAGACACCAAUUCUCUGCCUUCUAGUCCACCUGGGACCCCGUGUUCUGAGCGUUCCUCAGGGAGCCUGGACUCUGAACUCUGCUCUGCACUAUCAGACUAGUCCUAUAUUAAGACUGGCUAGAGUCUCCUCUUUGGCAAGAGUCCUAGGCUCUCCUGAGACUAGAGCAUCCUAUAGGGCCACGUGGGGCCCUUCACUUGAGCAGCAUGAUGAGGGUGCCUUCUUCCCCCUUAGAGCCCAGGUGACAGGAGUGGCCACCUAUUCCUGGGAGUAGGUCUGGGAGACCAGGGCUGCCCUGUUCCCCAAAGACUGGAGUCACAGUGGGUGACAAGUCACAUUUCUUCCUAGGCCUAGUCCCAACUGUGCUACCAACUCAUUGUGUGGCCCUGAGGGCUGGCUCCCUUUUCUGAGCCUCAUUUUUCCAUCUAGAAGAUGAGAGGAAAUGACCUCUAAGGGCCCCCUUGGUUUGACACUCUAAAUUUCCAUUUGCUCAUUGAGCCUGCUCCUCUUUCCAGCUGGGGUGCACUCUGCCAGCAUGGGGCUGCUGAGGGUUACUCUGGAGGCAGGCACUUCACUUGUUUGGGAGAAUUCACUACAGGGCCAGGUACCCUGGUCCUCUGAGACCUCCCUCAGGGUCUGCAGCCACCCAGGCUGUGGAACCCAGCUCCCAGAUAGAGGGUCAAGGAGGUGGGGCAGGAGGUUCUCCUGCCCCUCACCACUCCCCCCACCUUGGGGGGAGGAGAGAGGGAGGGACCUACUUCCUAGUUUCAUCUGUGGUAGGUGGAGGCCACGUUAAAUAAACUCAGCCUCGGGAAAGUCUUCAUUUACACAAUACAUAGCUGAAGUCACUUCACAAAAACCCCUUUCCACUAGCUGAGCACACAGGCUGUCUCUAAGACCAUCAGUACUUGCUGACCUGAGGAGCACAGAAUUUGCAUAUAGGUCUAAGUGACUCACUGUGGCAUUCAGCCAAGUCACUUCCCCUCUCUGGGUCAUUUUCCUAAUGUCCACACUGUGUGGCUGGCCCAGAGGAGUUAGGGCAGGCAGGCAGGCGGGUUUCUGGUUCUGAGGGCCUGUGGUUUCCCGUGGUGCCCUGCCCCGCCCCAGCAUCAUGCUGUGUGAGAAAAUGGCCCAGAUGCACCACCCAGGCCUGGGCCACACACAUCUGCCACAGUCAAAGAGCAGCAGCCUCAACCAAAUAGGCUGGGGAAGACUGGGGAGGGCCAGGGUGCCUUGUGCCCACAGGGAUCAGCUAGAUUGGCAUGAUUUCUGGCCAUGUGCCAAGCCCUGGGCAGCCCCAGACUGAGCCCCAUGACCCUGUCCUCAGCUCAACACACAGACAUCACAGACUAAAUCCUAACCCCAGGUUCACCCUGGCCCUGGCUUGGCGCAGACCAGACCUUGGUACAGGCAGCCUUUUCAUAGAUGUGAACCUCAGCAUGAGGCAUGCCAGAGAAGAGAAUAUGGGCAGCCCACCGCCCACAGCCCCCAGCUCACCGGAGU